rnacentral:hammerhead_ribozyme from 1 species
AUCCAGAUGACGAGUCCCAAAUAGGACGAAAUGCUCGUCCUCUAU